AUUGAACGCUGGCGGCAGGCCUAACACAUGCAAGUCGAACGAGUGGCGGACGGGUGAGUAAUGUCUGGGAAACUGCCUGAUGGAGGGGGAUAACUCCUGGAAACGGUAGCUAAUACCGCAUACCAUCAGAUGUGCCCAGAUGGGAUUAGCUUGUUGGUGGGGUAACGGCUCACCAAGGCGACGAUCCCUAUCUGGUCUGAGAGGAUGACCAGCCACACUGGAACUGAGACACGGGCCAGACUCCUACGGGAGGCAGCAGUGGGGAAUAUUGCACAAUGGGCGAAAGCCUGAUGCAGCAAUGCCGCGUGUAUGAAGAAGGCCUUCGGGUUGUAAAGUACUUUAAGCGGGGAGGGGUUACCAGAAGAAGAAGCACCGGCUAACUCCGUGCCAGCAGCCGCGGUAAUAG
rnacentral:rRNA from 1 species